rnacentral:rRNA from 1 species
AUUGAACGCUGGCGGCAGGCCUAACACAUGCAAGUCGAGCGAGCGGCGGACGGGUGAGUAAUGUAUGGGGACUGCCCGAUAGAGGGGGAUAACGACUGGAAACGGUAGCUAAUACCACAUACUAUCGGAUAACCCAUAUGGGAUUAGCUAGUAGGUGAGGUAAUGGAUCACCUAGGCGAAGAUCCAUAGCUGGUCUGAGAGGAUGAUCAGCCACAGUUGGACUGAGAUACGGCCCAGACUCCUACGGAGGCAGCAGUGGGGAAUAUUGCACAAUGGGCGCAAGCCUGAUGCAGCCAUGCCGCGUGUAUGAAGAAGGCCCUAGGGUUGUAAAGUACUUUCAGUCGGGAGGCGUUACCGACAGAAGAAGCACCGGCGAACUCCGUGCCAGCAGCCGCGGUAAUUC